rnacentral:lncRNA from 1 species
CCUAAUCAGUAGUGGAUGACAUAUUUAUAUCUCUACUUAACCAUUUUAUAAUAGAGAGAAGAUAUGAAAUUUUCACUCUGAAGGGCUUAGUUGGAAGACUGUUAAAGAAUUCCAGGGCCGUAACUACCUACAUGUAUGAAGCAGGUGAGGCAACUGCCUCCCCUGAAUUUUCUACACCAAUUUUUUUUUUAAGUAAUAAAAUGAAAUACUGACAAUAUGUAUACGAAGAACUGGAAUUUAUAUUAUAAACAACACAAGUUUACAGUUUUAACAGUGUUAUCAUGAUACGUGACAUAUCUGUUAUUUUCCGGAUUUUUGAUCGAAAGUGAACCGUUUCAGUAUUUAAAAAAAAUCAUGUGGCCGCCCGUCUGUUAUUCAGUAUUCGUUCGAGAACACAUAUGAAACUUUGCAGCAAUGCUUUCGACAAUUUUGAAUAAAACUUAACUAUUCACAUUUAUUUAGGGGCUCAAUUAAGUAGAGGAAGUUCCCUUUGUAUUGUGAAUCUUUUAUAAUAUCGGAAAUUUGUUACCGGCUGUAUCAGCUGUUGGGUCAACGUCACCCAAUCGUACGAGAACAUUAUGGUCAAUGCCUUAGUAGUUAAACACUCCCAUUCGUUGUAGCAGGGACUUUCUAUACUAAGUAUAUACUAGUUUAGAAAAUCCCUGGUUGUAGUUAUAUACAUGUCUGUUCAGCUUUCAACAAUAUUGAAAUUCAAGGUCCUCGAUAAAAAAAGAUCUUGCGUUCUAUGAUCUU